CCUACGGGUGGCAGCAGUGAGGAAUAUUGGUCAAUGGACGCAAGUCUGAACCAGCCAAGUAGCGUGCAGGAUGACGGCCCUCCGGGUUGUAAACUGCUUUUAGUUGGGAAUAAAAGGGGGCUCGUGAGCCCCGUAUUGUAUGUCCCAUCAGAAAAAGGACCGGCUCAUUCCGUGCCAGCAGCCGCGGUAAUCCGGAAGGUCCGGGCGUUAUCCGGAUUUAUGGGGUUUAAAGGGAGCGUAGGCCGGCUUUUAAGUCCGCUGUGAAAGUCCGCGGCUCAACCGUGGAAUUGCAGUUGAAACUGGAGGCCUGGAGUGCAAACAGAGAAGCCGGAAGUCGUGGUGUAGCGGUGAAAUGCUUAGAUAUCAUGAAGAACUCCGAUCGCGAAGGCAAGAGGCCGGGGUGCAACUGACGCUGAGGCUCGAAAGUGCGGGUAUCAAACAGGAUUAGAUACCCCAGUAGUC
rnacentral:rRNA from 1 species